rnacentral:rRNA from 1 species
AUUGAACGCUGGCGGCAUGCCUUACACAUGCAAGUCGAACGGUAACGCGGGGCAACCUGGCGACGAGUGGCGAACGGGCGAGUAAUAUAUCGGAACGUGCCCAAUAGUGGGGGAUAGCCCGGCGAAAGCCGGAUUAAUACCGCAUACGACCUGAGGGUGAAAGCGGGGGAUCGCAAGACCUCGCGCUAUUGGAGCGGCCGAUAUCAGAUUAGGUAGUUGGUGGGGUAAAGGCCUACCAAGCCUACGAUCUGUAGCUGGUCUGAGAGGACGACCAGCCACACUGGGACUGAGACACGGCCCAGACUCCUACGGGAGGCAGCAGUGGGGAAUUUUGGACAAUGGGCGCAAGCCUGAUCCAGCCAUGCCGCGUGCGGGAAGAAGGCCUUCGAGUUGUAAACCGCUUUUGUCAGGGAAGAAAUCUUCUGGGUUAAUACCUCGGAGGAUGACGGUACCUGAAGAAUAAGCACCGGCUAACUACGUGCCAGCAGCCGCGGUAAU